rnacentral:rRNA from 1 species
CACGUAGGAGGCGAGCGUUGUCCGGAAUCAUUGGGCGUAAAGAGCGCGCAGGCGGCUUGGCAAGUCGGGUGUGAAAUCCCGGGGCUCCAACCCCGUGACUGCAUCCGAUACUGUCAGGCUAGAGGUAGGUAGGGGAGAUCGGAAUUCCUGGUGUAGCGGUGAAAUGCGCAGAUAUCAGGAGGAACACCGGUGGCGAAGGCGGAUCUCUGGGCCUUACCUGACGCUCAGGCGCGAAAGCUAGGGGAGCGAACAGG